AUACGAGGGGUGCAAGCGUUAAUCGGAAUUACUGGGCGUAAAGCGUACGCAGGCGGUUGGUUAAGCGAGAUGUGAAAUCCCCGGGCUCAACCUGGGAACUGCAUUUCGAACUGGCCAACUAGAGUAUGAGAGAGGGUGGUAGAAUUUCAGGUGUAGCGGUGAAAUGCGUAGAGAUCUGAAGGAAUACCGAUGGCGAAGGCAGCCACCUGGUUCAAUACUGACGCUCAUGUACGAAAGCGUGGGGAGCAAACAGGAUUAGAAACCCCAGUAGUCC
rnacentral:rRNA from 1 species